rnacentral:lncRNA from 1 species
GACGCAAGCAGAAUCAGAAGUCUUUCACGGAACAAUUAGAGCAUGCUACGUAUAGUGGAUCAAAAAUGGAGUUGCGCGGGCUCUGUGUGCGAUGUUGACGCCAUGCUUCAAAGUCGCAAAGGAGGAUUCCCAAUCUGAAAUGGAUGGUUUCAGUGGGAUUAUUUCGCAAGGAGCUGGAGGAUUGGACUUUCAGUUAUCAUGCCUUGAUUCUUAGGAGGCACCUCACCCAUUACAUACAUUAUUUUAUUACCAGAUUUUAUGUUGCAAUCUACAGGCCUAAAAUUGUAGAACCUAGGAAGCUCGUUCAUGUAAUAUAAUAAUGAUUAUACUGUCUGGAUUGAUGCCACGGUUUGUAAAAAUAGCUCAAGAGAAAUUUCUCAUUAUACAGAAAGAAUUUGUGCGAUUCCUUUGUGCACAGAAAAUUUCAAGUCAGAAUUAAGUGUUUCAUCGUGCACUCACACCGCGGGAAGAUUUCAUUUUGAAAGGAAUGUUAAGAACACUCACAUCUGUACACCGCAGUGAUAAAAACUUCGGUGUUUGAGGGACGGAUGUGUGCAUGGAGCGCUAUGGUAGCAUCAUUGAAGUUAUGGACGAACUGUUUCCUUUGAGUUCGUUCAGCAUCACUUGCUUGGUCCAUCGUCGGAGGAACUUGUCAUCUGUAGCAAGAAGCCGCGUCACUCCAUCAGUCCUAUCAUAUUGGCGUUGAUCCAUACAUUGGUUACUUUGAUCUUGUGCUGCAAACCUCCAAACGUCCCCCCCCCCCCCAAGCGUAAGAGCCCAGAGAUUUUCUACGUUCAAAAUCGCACUGAACACCCAGGGGUUGCAGGUUACCUCUUCUGCCUCUUGGCAGAUCAUCUGGAUCCCUUGCAUGUCGCUUGCAUACUGAUCGAAAGCUUGUAGUCUGAACAGGGGCACUCCGCUUACGAAGCAUAAUGGAAU